UUGUGGAGGAGGACGCCGAAGGUGGGGCUAAUGACUGGGGUGAAGUCGUAACAAGGUAGCCGUACCGGAAGGUGCGGCUGGAUCACCUCCUAACAGGGAGACAACAAAAUGUUUAAUAUUAUUAUUUUGUCACCUUAGGUCGAUCGGUAUCUCACGUUUUUAAUUCAUUAAGAAUUUCAUUUCCUAAGUUUUUCUAGGUCACACCCAUUAUUUUUCCUGGGCCAUUAGCUCAGGUGGUUAGAGCGCACCCCUGAUAAGGGUGAGGUCCCUGGUUCAAGUCCAGGAUGGCCCAUAUCUCUAUGUUGGGGGUAUAGCUCAGUUGGUAGAGCGCCUGCUUUGCAAGCAGGAUGUCAGCGGUUCGAGUCCGCUUACCUCCACUGAUUACCACCUCUUCCAUAAUCUGUAGAAAGGAAAUGUUUUGAGUUGUGAUCAAAUUCUGAACGAAUCUAGCUUCCUAAUUAAAUAAUUAAGAUGCUGGACUCAUUGAAUUAAUUUCAUUGUUUUCAGAGAACCUUGACAACUGCAUAGAUUAUUUUUAAAGACAAUAAGCAUCUUUAAUGAUGCAGAUUUAUUAUUUGUGCGAAUGCAUUAAUAACAAUUCUAUUAAGCUGAUGCUUCAAUUUUGAAGUUAUUGGUCAAGCUACAA
rnacentral:misc_RNA from 1 species